rnacentral:rRNA from 1 species
UUCUCUUGAGAGCGGCGGACGGGUGAGUAAUGCCUAGGAAUCUGCCUGGUAGUGGGGGAUAACGUUCGGAAACGGACGCUAAUACCGCAUACGUCCUACGGGAGAAAGCAGGGGACCUUCGGGCCUUGCGCUAUCAGAUGAGCCUAGGUCGGAUUAGCUAGUUGGUGGGGUAAUGGCUCACCAAGGCGACGAUCCGUAACUGGUCUGAGAGGAUGAUCAGUCACACUGGAACUGAGACACGGUCCAGACUCCUACGGGAGGCAGCAGUGGGGAAUAUUGGACAAUGGGCGAAAGCCUGAUCCAGCCAUGCCGCGUGUGUGAAGAAGGUCUUCGGAUUGUAAAGCACUUUAAGUUGGGAGGAAGGGCAGUAAAUUAAUACUUUGCUGUUUUGACGUUACCGACAGAAUAAGCACCGGCUAACUCUGUGCCAGCAGCCGCGGUAAUACAGAGGGUGCAAGCGUUAAUCGGAAUUACUGGGCGUAAAGCGCGCGUAGGUGGUUCGUUAAGUUGGAUGUGAAAUCCCCGGGCUCAACCUGGGAACUGCAUUCAAAACUGACGAGCUAGAGUAUGGUAGAGGGUGGUGGAAUUUCCUGUGUAGCGGUGAAAUGCGUAGAUAUAGGAAGGAACACCAGUGGCGAAGGCGACCACCUGGACUGAUACUGACACUGAGGUGCGAAAGCGUGGGGAGCAA